ACCUGGUCUUAUUGGACGGAUGGAGAUUCUGCAGUCCAUGCUCGUAAGAAGCCAAUGGCUGAAGAUUUGGACUAUAUGGCAGUUGCUAGCAUGACAGAUGGCAUGGUUGGAGCAGAGCUUGCCAAUAUCGUUGAGAUAGCAGCAAUUAAUAUGAUGCGUGAUGGAAGAACAGAGUUAACAACAGAUGAUUUGCUUCAAGCUGCACAAAUAU